UGGCAGAUGGCGUGCCAUAACUCUACUAGUGGGAUACCACGCUUGUGGACCUUAUGCCCACACAGCCAUCCUCUAGUAAGUUUGUAAGACGUCUGAUGACGUGUGGGAAAACACUAGAAAUAUUAACUUGCUGUAAAGCAUCCUACUGCCAGCGGAAUCACAUCUGGUAACAGAUGCCUCUGGGGCCAAAAGCCAAGGUUUAGCAGACCCUUUAGGAUUGGUUCAAUACCUGAGUUAAUAUGGAAAGUGCUUAGUACCUGCUGACUUGGUAGUAGUGCAAACACUAGUUGUAUGGCCCGCGAAGGAUGCCCAGAAGGUACCCGUAGGUAACAAGUGACACUAUGGAUCUGAUCUGGGGCUGGAUACCUCUAUCUUGGUGAUCCAGUUAAAAAACGUCUAGCGGGCCAAGCCCAGGGGGGAUCCCUGGUUUCCCUAUUUUUAUUAUUAUCAC
rnacentral:other from 1 species